CCUACGGGAGGCAGCAGUGGGGAAUUUUGGACAAUGGGCGCAAGCCUGAUCCAGCAAUGCCGCGUGAGUGAAGAAGGCCUUCGGGUUGUAAAGCUCUUUUGUCAGGGAAGAAACGGUGGGAGCUAAUAUCUCCCGCUAAUGACGGUACCUGAAGAAUAAGCACCGGCUAACUACGUGCCAGCAGCCGCGGUAAUACGUAGGGUGCAAGCGUUAAUCGGAAUUACUGGGCGUAAAGCGUGCGCAGGCGGUUUUGUAAGUCUGUCGUGAAAGCCCCGGGCUCAACCUGGGAAUUGCGAUGGAGACUGCAAGGCUUGAAUCUGGCAGAGGGGGGUAGAAUUCCACGUGUAGCAGUGAAAUGCGUAGAGAUGUGGAGGAACACCGAUGGCGAAGGCAGCCCCCUGGGUCAAGAUUGACGCUCAUGCACGAAAGCGUGGGGAGCAAACAGGAUUAGAUACCCUGGUAGUCCACGCCCUAAACGAUGUCUACUAGUUGUCGGGUUUUAAUUAACUUGGUAACGCAGCUAACGCGUGAAGUAGACCGCCUGGGGAGUACGGUCGCAAGNUUAAAACUCAAAUGAAUUGACCGGNNGAGAGNGCGAGACGACGACGAGGGAGGAGG
rnacentral:rRNA from 1 species